rnacentral:rRNA from 1 species
UACGUAGGGUGCGAGCGUUAAUCGGAAUUACUGGGCGUAAAGCGUGCGCAGGCGGCGCGUUAAGACAGGUGUGAAAGCCCCGAGCUUAACUUGGGAAUUGCGCUUGUGACUGGCGUGCUGGAGUGUGGCAGAGGGAGGUGGAAUUCCACGUGUAGCAGUGAAAUGCGUAGAGAUGUGGAGGAACACCGAUGGCGAAGGCAGCCUCCUGGGCCAGCACUGACGCUCAUGCAC